AGAGUUUGAUCCUGGCUCAGGAUGAACGCUAGCGGCAGGCCUAAUACAUGCAAGUCGAACGGUAACAUGAGAGCUUGCUCUUGAUGACGAGUGGCGCACGGGUGCGUAACGCGUAUGCAACCUACCCUUUACUGGGGGAUAGCCCGGAGAAAUCCGGAUUAAUACCCCAUGGUACCAUAGUAUAGCAUUAUAUAGUGGUUAAAGAUUUAUUGGUAAAGGAUGGGCAUGCGUGACAUUAGUUAGUUGGUAAGGUAACGGCUUACCAAGACGAUGAUGUCUAGGGGUUCUGAGAGGAAGGUCCCCCACACCGGUACUGAGACACGGACCAGACUCCUACGGGAGGCAGCAGUAGGGAAUAUUGGUCAAUGGACGCAAGUCUGAACCAGCCAUGCCGCGUGCAGGAUGACAGCUUUCUGAGUUGUAAACUGCUUUUAUAUAGGAACAAAUAGGCCAUGCGUGGCAAGUUGCGUGUACUAUAUGAAUAAGCACCGCUAACU
rnacentral:rRNA from 1 species